UCUUCUUAUGCUUUAUAAGGCAUACUUCCAUAUAUAUCACAUAACUGCAUACAAAAAUGCAUCAGGAGGAGACUUCACAAAACUGGCCCAACUUAACAGAACUGCUAAAAGCUAGACUUCGCAUACAACCAACGGAUGCACUACUAUUUACAAACCUGAAAAGAAAAAUUUUGGAGAGGGGUGAGCCUCCAGCUCAGUAAAUAAAUAAUCAACAUAAUCUAUAUCACAUACACUUAAUACAAUUUCCACCCAAUCACAUAACUUUCCAUGAUAUUCAUAGUUUAGGUAUAAAGUCAUACCAUUCUACUCAAUUCAUUACAACCAUCAUAGAAGAAAUACAAUUCAACAAUUAUGGUUAGUUCUCACGGCUUGUGGAUCCCCUUUAAUGUGCUGCUCCACCUCAUCCUCACAUAUCACACACGUAAGCUGCUCCGCCUCAUUUCACAUUAUACACUUUUAUAGCCUCUCUAGGCUUUAGCCUCCCAAGGCUUUAUAUAUAUAUAUUUUUUUCACAGGGGAAUCCACCAUUCACAUGUACAUAUGCACUUAACAUCACAAUUCAAUCAUUUCACUUAUAUCAUAUUUCAGCAAUAAUAAUUGUUCCACUCAACACCAAUCAUUUCCAUCUCAGUCAUUCAAACAUAAACAAUAUUAAGCAAACGCAACCAUUUGCGGAACAUUUGAUUAAAUAUAUGAACAUAGCAAAUAUUAACUAUUUACUUACUCAAAAUAUACUUAUUCCUUUAGCAUAUAAGAACCUCCUUUCUCCAUAACUUCCUUUCCAGGCCUUUGAGUACC
rnacentral:lncRNA from 1 species